GCCGAAAUAAGCGCUCAGUUGGAGAGCGUUAGACUGAACAUCUAAGGUCCUGGUUCAAUCGGGUUUCGGCA